rnacentral:rRNA from 1 species
CCUACGGGGCGCAGCAGUGGGGAAUAUUGGGCAAUGGGCGCAAGCCUGACCCAGCGACGCCGCGUGAGGGCAGACGGCCUUCGGAUUGUAAACCUCUUUCAGCGGGGAAGACAAAAGGACGGUACCUGCUGAAUAAGCCACGGCUAACUACGUGCCAGCAGCCGCGGUAAUACGUAGGUGGCAAGCGUUAUCCGGAAUUACUGGGUGUAAAGGGCGUGAAGGCGGGUAUGCAAGUCAGAUGUGAAAAUUCUGGGCUCAACCCACAACCUGCAUCUGAAACUGCAGAUCUUGAGAGUGGGAGAGGUAAACGGAAUUCCCGGUGUAGCGGUGAAAUGCGUAGAUAUCAGGAAGAACACCAGUGGCGAAGGCGGUUUACUGGACGACAACUGACGCUGAGACGCGAAAGCGUGGGGAGCAAACAGGAUUAGAUACCCUUGUAGUC